GAGUUUGAUCAUGGCUCAGGAUCAACGCUGGCGGCGUGCCUAAUGCAUGCAAGUCGAGCGGGGUGAUCUUAAGAUCACUUGCGCGGCGGNCGGGUGCGAAAAAAAAGAGCAACCUGCCCCGAGGUGGGGGAUAGCCGGUGGAAACACCGGGUAAUUCCGCAUGAGGUCACAGACCGGAGGAAAUGUGAGGAAAGGGUCUUUUGGACUCGCCUUGGGAGGGGCCUGCGGCCGAUUAGCUAGACGGUGGGGUAACGGCCUACCGUGGCGAUGAUCGGUAGCUGGUCUGAGAGGACGGCCAGCCACACGGGGACUGAGACACGGCCCCGACUCCUACGGGAGGCAGCAGCAAGGAAUCUUCCGCAAUGGGCGAAAGCCUGACGGAGCAACGCCGCGUGUGGGAUGACGCCGGUCGGGGUGUAAACCACUUUUCUCGGGGAAGAAGCACUGACGGUACCCGAGGAAGAAGGACCGGCUAACUACGUGCCAGCAGCCGCGGUAAAGGGCGAA
rnacentral:rRNA from 1 species